rnacentral:lncRNA from 1 species
AGCAGGGAGCCUGGAAGGGGGACCGAAUGAAGACCCAGCCCUGUGCCCUGUGGGGACAUCAGUCAGCCUCUGUAGGCCCGCUGAACCGUGAGUCAUGGGUGCACAGCCCUCGCCAAGAACAAGUUAUGGGAUCGUCUCUGCAAGCUCUGAGCCCUUCCCAGCCCAGUUCUGCUACUUACCUGGAGAGCCUGGUGGCUUGUGCUGGCUGCUACACCUCUGAACCUGCACAGUCCCAACCCCAGUAAGGGAAGCGUCUCAGGCAGGCACCAUUCUUCAAGGCCGGUCUCCGUCCCUCCGACCACCAAGCUCCCCUCCACUGCGUCCUAGCUGCCACUACAACUUGGGUUUUAUUUACCGCACGUGUUGUUCAGUAUCCCUUUUUUCAGCCCUAAACUUGCCUAGGGUUGUGCCAUGCAGGGAGCAGAAGCAGAAUCAAGAGGUGACCCACACACUCAAGCUUGAUCUCCAACUUGAGAUCAUUCCUGGAGCUCCUCGCCCUCUGUGCCGUACCCAGUGGCCCCUUCCUCUGUUUUCUCUUGCUUAGGCUUGAGUGGCCGGUCACUGCCCAUUCUGCCCAGCUCCUCUCUGGUUCUCAGCUCGGAUCUCUGCCCCGUUCCAUUCUCCCAACUCAGCA